rnacentral:lncRNA from 1 species
ACUAAAAAUAAUUCAAAUGAAAAAUUAAAUGAACAAAAUGCUACUCGUUUAUCACUUGGAAGUGAAAAUGCACCCAAUGGGAUAAGUAAUGCUUAUAGAAAAAGUAAUAGUAUACAUAGUCAAUUUUUAAAAAAUAAUAAUGAGGUUUAUGAUAAUAUGUAUGAAUAUGAAGAAGACCGUAAAGAAGAUAAUACAUAUGGAGAAGAUAAUACAUAUGGAGAAGAUGAUGUAUAUGGAGAAGAUGAUGUAUAUGGAGAAGAUGAUAAGUAUGGAGAAGAUGAUAAGUAUGGAGAAGAUGAUAAGUAUGAGGAAGAUGAUGUAUAUGAGGAAGGUGUUGAACAUGAGGAAGAUGAUGUAUAUGAGGAAGAUGUUGAACAUGAGGAAGAUGAUAGACAUGGAGAAGAUGGUGCAUAUGAAGAAGAUGGUGCAUAUGGAGAUGGUAACAAAUACAAAGGCGGUGAUGAAUAUGAAGAGUAUGAUAAUAAUAACGUAUUGACUUACAACAAAAAAAAUACAAAAGAUACGUUUGUUCAUGGAAAUAGUAAUGAAGAAACUAAAGAAAACUUAUUAAAAAAACAUAUAAGUAAUAAAAAUAUGGAUGAUAAUAGUGGCAACGACGAUGAUGUAACAAAGCACAAAACUAACACUUAUAACAACACAGUUCUUAAUAACGUCAAAAGCAGUGUUUUUAAUAAAUUAACUAAUAUAUUGAUGGAUAACUUUAAUAAACGAACAAAAGAAACUAAUAAAUCGCAGGAAAGUAUAAAAUUGAAAGGAAUAGUAAAAAAAACAAAUAACAAGAGUAAUGACUAUGUCCAUUGUUUUAAAAGUAGAAAUCUUAGUAGAGCACAAAAUGAAAAUAUGAACGAACGGGAAAAUGAUAAAGAGUUCACAAGAAAUAAUAAACAGUAUGAUAUACUAAGAAAUGUGAAAAAUACAAAUAUAAUAAGUGAUAAUAAUAGUAAAAAAUAUACAAAAUUAAUUAAAAAAGGUUUAAAAAAUGAUGAAUCAAAAACAGAGGAAUAUUGUGCUUACCAAACAAAAGCUUACAUACCUAUGUCGUUUAACAGCAGUAAAGAUAUAUUAAUAAAUUAUAAAAGAAGAGAAAAAAAAAAACCAACUGUAUAUAAUGAAGGUAAAAAAAACGAAAGUAAAAAUAUAUCUGAUACACAAAAUAAAUGUAAACUCGUUUUUAACACUUUACCAAACAAUAACAAUUUGGUACAACUUGGUACUGAUAACAAUUUUUAUAAUAUAGAAAAAGAUAUACACAUAGUUCCACCUAACAAAAAUAUAUUUUCAAAUCAAGUUCAAAUAAAAAGCGGAUUUAAUAAUAAUUUAAUAAAAACGAAUAAUUAUAGUAAUGGCACUUAUUUAAUAACUAAAAGUAACGGUUUAUUACUUGAACAGAAAAUACAAUCACCAACUCCUAAUAAUAUUUUGACAUAUUCCCGCCCUAAUGUACAAUUUGCGCGUAACGCUACUAUUACUAAUGUUAUGUCACCUGAUCAGAGUAUUACUGCUAAUACUCCUAUACAACCUCCUCAUAAACCUACUAUUGCUACUUUAGUUAUGUCACCUGAUCAGAAUAUUACUUAUACUGCUCCUAUACAACCUAGACGUAAUGCUACUGUUACUACUAUUAUACCACCUGCUCAAAGUAUAACUAAAACUGUUACUAUAAAACCUCCUCAUGACGUUACUACUACUGUUGGUACAAAUUAUAUCACAAAGAACACGAAUUGUGGAUUAACACAGCCAAUAAACACGCUUGAACAAAACGUUUGCAUAAAUACUUUACCUAAUAACAUAACAAAAAUAAAUAAUUUAAUACAAAAACAGAUUUAUGACCCAAAUAUAUACUCUAUUUUGAAAAAAAAAAAUAUAUACAACAAUACGCAAAAUAUACCAACAACACAUACUAAAAAAGGUUUUUUUUGUUCAAGUUCAUUAAAAAAAAGGUAUAGUAACAAUAAAGUUAUAAAUAAUAAUUUAAAAACAGAAUUAUUAAUUUAUAAAGACGCUAAUAAUAUACCAAAACGGAUUAUAAAUACCAAACUUCCUAUUUCUAAUUAUAACACAAAUACUACUGUUACUACUUCUAUCAACCAUAACAAUAAACAUACUUUUAAUAAUAACAUUAAUUGUAAAAAUGUAUAUGCUUAUAAUCACCCUUCUAAUAAAGUUUUUGUACGAACUAAAUCUGUUUCUCCCAAUUCGUUUUUAACAAAAAGAAACACUACUGAUAUAAGGUCACGUCCUUCAUUGAAUUUAUUUAAUCUAAAUAGACAACAAUCUAUGCCAAUAACCAUACAAGAAUGUAAUAAUAAACCUUUAUAUACACAAGAAGUUAUAUAUACAACUAAUUCUAAUCAGCAACAUAAUAAUAUUAAUAAUAAUAAUAAUACUAAAAGCGUUGUUACACCUGUACAAAAUAUUAAUACAGCCAAUAAUGAAGGUUAUGACAACAUGAACACAAUACAAUCAGAUGUUCUUACAAAUAAUCAUAAAAAUAUUGACGAAUUUUCACUUUUGCAUAAAAAAAAUGAUGCACUUAAAAAAAAAAAUCAUGCAAUUAAUAAAGAAAAUAGCAAAUUGAUGGAACUGUAUGAAUUGUACAAGGUGAGGAAUGUGUGUGUAUGUGUGUGUGUGUGUGUAUGUAGGUGUGUGCUUAUUUGUUUGUACAAGAUUAGCUAACUUCACAAUU